rnacentral:rRNA from 1 species
GAGUUUGAUCCUGGCUCAGAUUGAACGCUGGCGGCAUGCCUUACACAUGCAAGUCGAACGGCAGCACGGGAGCUUGCUCCUGGUGGCGAGUGGCGAACGGGUGAGUAAUGCAUCGGAACGUAUCCUGGAGUGGGGGAUAACGUAGCGAAAGUUACGCUAAUACCGCAUAUUCUGUGAGCAGGAAAGCGGGGGACCUUCGGGCCUCGCGCUCUUGGAGCGGCCGAUGUCGGAUUAGCUAGUUGGUGAGGUAAAGGCUCACCAAGGCGACGAUCCGUAGCAGGUCUGAGAGGAUGAUCUGCCACACUGGAACUGAGACACGGUCCAGACUCCUACGGGAGGCAGCAGUGGGGAAUUUUUGGACAAUGGGGGCAACCCUGAUCCAGCCAUGCCGCGUGAGUGAAGAAGGCCUCGGUUG